rnacentral:tRNA from 1 species
CGAAAUCCGGGUAGCGCUACGGACUUAAAUUUUGAGCCUUAGUAGAGAAAUCUAUUAAGUGACUGUUUUCACAUUCAGGGAAACCUAAAGUUUGAGGUAUGAGGUAAUCCUGAGCCAAAUUUUAUUUAUAAAAUAGGUGCAGAGACUCGAAGGAAACUAUCCUAACGAAAAAUUUUUUAUCUAUUUUUUUAUUACGAGUAUUGAUUCAGUGCACAAUCCAAAAUAUAUUUGAAAUAAUCAAAACAUCUGAGUACUAAUGUUCAUAUUAGUUUUUAAAUAAACUCUAAUAGACGAGGAUAAAGAUAGAGUCCUUUUUUACAAUCUAUAUAAUUUUUAUUUUAUAGAUAAUUGUAAAAAGAAAAUCCGUUGGCUUUAAUAGACCUUGAGGGUUCAAGUCCCUCUACCCCCA